GUGGCGACGGGUGAGUAACACGUGGGCAAUCUGCCCUGCACUCUGGGACAAGCCCUGGAAACGGGGUCUAAUACCGGAUGACACUUUCUCUCGCAUGGGAGAAGGUUGAAAGCUCCGGCGGUGCAGGAUGAGCCCGCGGCCUAUCAGCUAGUUGGUGAGGUAGAAGCUCACCAAGGCGACGACGGGUAGCCGGCCUGAGAGGGCGACCGGCCACACUGGGACUGAGACACGGCCCAGACUCCUACGGGAGGCAGCAGUGGGGAAUAUUGCACAAUGGGCGAAAGCCUGAUGCAGCGACGCCGCGUGAGGGAUGACGGCCUUCGGGUUGUAAACCUCUUUCAGCAGGGAAGAAGCGAAAGUGACGGUACCUGCAGAAGAAGCGCCGGCUAACUACGUGCCAGCAGCCGCGGUAAUACGUAGGGCGCAAGCGUUGUCCGGAAUUAUUGGGCGUAAAGAGCUCGUAGGCGGCUUGUCACGUCGGUUGUGAAAGCCCGGGGCUUAACCCCGGGUCUGCAGUCGAUACGGGCAGGCUAGAGUGUGGUAGGGGAGAUCGGAAUUCCUGGUGUAGCGGUGAAAUGCGCAGAUAUCAGGAGGAACACCGGUGGCGAAGGCGGAUCUCUGGGCCAUUACUGACGCUGAGGAGCGAAAGCGUGGGGAGCGAACAGGAUUAGAUACCCUGGUAGUCCACGCCGUAAACGGUGGGAACUAGGUGUUGGCGACAUUCCACGUCGUCGGUGCCGCAGCUAACGCAUUAAGUUCCCCGCCUGGGGAGUACGGCCGCACGCUAAACUCAAGGAAUUGACGGGGGCCCGCACAAGCAGCGGAGCAUGUG
rnacentral:rRNA from 1 species